GCUAAUACCGGAUAACAACAGAUGAUGCCUAUCAACUGUUUAAAAGAAUGGUUCUGCUAUCACUCUUGGAUGGACCUGCGGUGCAUUAGCUAGUUGGUAGGGUAACGGCCUACCAAGGCGAUGAUGCAUAGCCGAGUUGAGAGACUGAUCGGCCACAUUGGGACUGAGACACGGCCCAAACUCCUACGGGAGGCAGCAGAG
rnacentral:rRNA from 1 species